rnacentral:tRNA from 1 species
CGGAGUAGCUCAGUGGUAGAGCAGCUGAUUUGUAAUCAGCGGGUCGGGGGUUCAAAUCCCUUCUCCGGC